UACAGAGGAGCCAAGCGUUGUUCGGAUUUACUGGGCGUAAAGGGCGCGUAGGCGGCAAUUCAAGUCAGUUGUGAAAUCUCCGAGCUUAACUCGGAACGGUCAACUGAUACUGUUUUGCUAGAGUGCAGAAAGGGCAACCGGAAUUCUUGGUGUAGCGGUGAAAUGCGUAGAUAUCAAGAGGAACACCUGAGGCGAAGGCGGGUUGCUAGGCUGACACUGACGCUGAGGCGCGAAAGCUAGGGUAGCAAACGGG
rnacentral:rRNA from 1 species